GAACGAACCCUUCGGGGUUAGUGGCGGACGGGUGAGUAACGCGUGAGAAUCUGGCUUCAGGUCUGGGACAACCACUGGAAACGGUGGCUAAUACCGGAUGUGCCGCAAGGUGAAAGGUUAACUGCCUGAAGAUGAGCUCGCGUCUGAUUAGCUAGUUGGCAGUGUAAGAGACUACCAAGGCGACGAUCAGUAGCUGGUCUGAGAGGACGAUCAGCCACACUGGGACUGAGACACGGCCCAGACUCCUACGGGAGGCAGCAGUGGGGAAUUUUCCGCAAUGGGCGAAAGCCUGACGGAGCAAUACCGCGUGAGGGAGGAAGGCUCUUGGGUCGUAAACCUCUUUUCUCAGGGAAGAACACAAUGACGGUACCUGAGGAAUAAGCAUCGGCUAACUCCGUGCCAGCAGCCGCGGUAAUACGGAGGAUGCAAGCGUUAUCCGGAAUGAUUGGGCGUAAAGCGUCCGCAGGUGGCGAUGUAAGUCUGCUGUUAAAGCGUCUAGCUCAACUAGAUAAAAGCAGUGGAAACUACAUGGCUAGAGUGCGUUCGGGGCAGAGGGAAUUCCUGGUGUAGCGGUGAAAUGCGUAGAGAUCAGGAAGAACACCGGUGGCGAAGGCGCUCUGCUAGGCCGNAACUGACACUGAGGGACGAAAGCUAGGGGAGCGAAUGGGAUUAGAUACCCCAGUAGUCCUAGCCGUAAACGAUGGAUACUAGGCGUGGCUUGUAUCGACCCGAGCCGUGCCGUAGCUAACGCGUUAAGUAUCCCGCCUGGGGAGUACGCCGGCAACGGU
rnacentral:rRNA from 1 species